rnacentral:rRNA from 1 species
CGGGGGGCAGCAGUGGGGAAUUUUGCGCAAUGGGCGAAAGCCUGACGCAGCAACGCCGCGUGAGUGAUGAAGGCUUUCGGGUCGUAAAGCUCUGUCGAUGGGAAAGAAGUGUAUUGUGGCUAAUAUCCACGAUACUUGACGGUACCCAUAAAGGAAGCACCGGCUAACUCCGUGCCAGCAGCCGCGGUAAUACGGGGGGUGCAAGCGUUGUUCGGAAUUAUUGGGCGUAAAGAGCGUGUAGGCGGUUUGUUAAGUCUGUUGUGAAAGCCCUGGGCUCAACCCAGGAAGUGCACUGGAUACUGGCAGACUUGAAUACGGGAGAGGGUAGUGGAAUUCCUAGUGUAGGAGUGAAAUCCGUAGAUAUUAGGAGGAACACCGGUGGCGAAGGCGGCUACCUGGACCGAUAUUGACGCUGAGACGCGAAAGCGUGGGUAGCAAACAGGAUUAGAUACCCCAGU